rnacentral:rRNA from 1 species
GAGUAACGCGAAGGAUAACCUGCCCUGAGGUGGGGAAUAACCCGGGGAAACUCGGGCUAAUACCGCAUGAUACCGAGAGGUCAAAGAGGGCUCGCAAGGGCUCUUGCCAUAAGAGGGGUCCGCGUUCGAUUAGCUAGUUGGUAGGGUUAUGGCCUACCAAGGCGGCGAUCGAUAGCCGGCCUGAGAAGGUGAUCGGCCACACUGGAACUGAGACACGGUCCUGACACCUACGGGAGGCAGCAGUGGAGAAUUUUGCGCAAUGGGCUAACGCCUGACGCAGCAACGCUGCGUGGAGGAUGAAGGUCUUUGGAUUGCAAACUCCUGUCAACAGGGAAAAAGGGAAGAGUCCUAAUACGUCUCUGAAUUGAUUGUACCAGCAGAGGAAACCCCGGCUCACUCUGUGCCAGCAGCCGCGGUAAUACAGAGUGGGCAAGCGUGAUUGGGAAUUAUUGGGCGUAAAGGGCGCGUAGGAGGCUUCUCCAGUGACGGGUGAAAUCCCACGGCGUAACGAGGAACUGACUGUCAGACUGGAAAGCUUGAGACCGGUAGAGGUGAGUGGAAUUCCCAGUGUGGCGGUGAUUGCGUACAUAUUGGGAGGAACACCAGUGGCGAACGCGUCUCACUGGACCGGAACUGACGCUGAGGCGCGAAAGCGAGGGGAGCAAACACGAUUACAUACC